rnacentral:tRNA from 1 species
GGGGCCAUAGCUCAGUUGGUAGAGCGCAUCGUUCGCAAUGAUGAGGUCAGGGGUUCGACUCCCCUUGGCUCCA